GGUGACGUGGUGCAACUGGUAGACACAUGCAGCUUAAACCUGCAUUUUUCAUUGAGAGUUCGAGUCUCUCCGUCACCA
rnacentral:tRNA from 1 species